AUUCCAGCUCCAAUAGCGUAUAUUAAAGUUGUUGCAGUUAAAAAGCUCGUAGUUGGAUUUCUGGUGGGAGCACGGGUCGGCCUUCACGGGUUGUACUGUUGUUGCGUCCUGCCGUUUCGGAGGGAAUGGUCAUGUUAUUAGGUUAGCGUGAUCGGAAACUCUGUCGUUUACUGUGAUAAAAUUAGAGCGUUCAAAGCAGGCCUUCGCUGUGAAUACAUUAGCAUGGAAUAAUAAGAUAGGACUGUAGUGCUAUUUUGUUGGUUUGCGUACUAUGGUAAUGAUUAAUAGGGAUAGUUGGGGGUAUUCAUAUUCAAUUGUCAGAGGUGAAAUUCUUGGAUUUAUGGAAGAUGAACUACUGCGAAAGCAUUUACCAAGGAUGUUUUCAUU
rnacentral:rRNA from 1 species